GCGCGUGUAGCUCAGGUGGUUAGAGCAUUCGCCUUAUAAGCGAAAGGUUCGGUGGUUCGAGCCCACCCACGCGCA
rnacentral:tRNA from 1 species